GGGGUAGUGGCUUAGUGGUAGAGCUUCUGCUUCAAAUGCAGAAGGUCCCAGGUUCAAUUCCCGGUGUCUCCA